UAUUGGUCAAUGGCCUAACGGCUGAACCAGCAAUUUGGGGGAAUGUAGGUAUAUAUCUUAUGAUGCAUAUAUACAAAUCGACUACGUCGUAUAAAGUUCUAAAUAGAUAAUUGAUUGUGACAGAUUUCUAUUUAUGUGGCUCGACCAAUUCUUGUGCCAGCAGUCGCGGCAACACAAGUGAGACUAGUGUUAUUCAUCUUUAUUAGGUUUAAAGGGUACCUAGACGGUUUUUUUAACCUGAAAAAUGUACAAAAAAACUAGAGUUUUAUAUGAGAGGUAAAUAUUAGGACUAUUGGUGUAGAGAUGAAAUUUUUUGAUACUAAUUGGACGUAUAAUGGCGAAGGCGAUCCUCUAUUUAUAAACUGACGUUAAGGGACGAAGGCUUGGGGAGCGAAUAGGAUUAGAUACCCUAGUAGUCCAGGCAGAAAAUUAUGAAUGUUAUAGAUUAAGUAUAUAAUUAGUGUAUAAAUGAAAGUGUAAGCAUUCCACCUCAAGAGUAAUGUGGCAACGCAGGAACUGAAAUCAUUAGACCGUUUGUGAAACCAGUAGUGAAGUAUGUUAUUUA
rnacentral:rRNA from 1 species